GCUACCAUGCAGUCGAGCGGUAGCGGGAGAAGCUUGCUUUCUCCGCUGACGAGCGGCGGACGGGUGAGUAGUGUCUGGGGAUCUGCCUGAUGGAGGGGGAUAACUACUGGACACGGUAGCUAAUACCGCAUAACGUCGCAAGACCAAAGUGGGGGACCUUCGGGCCUCGUGCCCUCAGAUGAACCCAGAUGGGAUUAGCUAGUAGGUGAGGUAAUGGCUCACCUAGGCGACGAUCCCUAGCUGGUCUGAGAGGAUGACCAGCCACACUGGAACUGAGACACGGUCCAGACUCCUACGGGAGGCAGCAGUGGGGAAUAUUGCACAAUGGGCGCAAGCCUGAUGCAGCCAUGCCGCGUGUAUGAAGAAGGCCUCGGGUUGUAAAGUACUUUCAGUAGGGAGGAAGGUGUGCGUGUUAAUAGCACGUGCAAUUGACGUUACCUACAGAAGAAGCACCGGCUAACUCCGUGCCAGCAGCCGCGGUAAUACGGAGGGUGCAAGCGUUAAUCGGAAUUACUGGGCGUAAAGCGCACGCGGGCGGUUUGUUAAGUUGGAUGUGAAAUCCCCGGGCUUAACCUGGGAACUGCAUCCAAGACUGGCAAGCUAGAGUCUCGUAGAGGGAGGUAGAAUUCCGGGUGUAGCGGUGAAAUGCGUAGAGAUCUGGAAGAAUACCGGUGGCGAAGGCGGCCUCCUGGACGAAGACUGACGCUCAGGUGCAAAAGCGUGGGGAGCAACCAAGAUUAUAUACCCUGGUAGUCCACUCUGUAAACUAUGUCGAUUUGGAGGUUGUGCCCUUGACGCGUGUCUUCCGAAACUAACGCGUUAAUCCGACCGCCUGGGGAGUACGGCCGCGAGGUUUAAACUCAAAUGAAUUGACGGGGGCCCGCACAAGCGGUGGAGCAUGUGGUUUAAUUCGAUGCAACGCGAAGAAC
rnacentral:rRNA from 1 species